UACGGGGGGGGCAAGCGUUGUUCGGAAUUACUGGGCGUAAAGGGCUCGUAGGCGGCCAACUAAGUCGGAUGUGAAAUCCCCAGGCUUAACCUGGGAACUGCAUCCGAUACUGGAUGGCUUGAAUCCGGGAGAGGGAUGCAGAAUUCCAGGUGUAGCGGUGAAAUGCGUAGAUAUCUGGAGGAAUACCGGUGGCGAAGGCGGCAUCCUGGACCACGACUGACACUGAAAAGCGAAAGCCAGGGGAGCAAACGGG
rnacentral:rRNA from 1 species